UGGUCUUCUAAGAAGAAAAGAUGGAGAAACAUAGCGAUCGCUAUGGCAAUUUCUGGCGAGGAGAACAAAGAGUUUAGGUACCUUUAAAGGGCAAUGGAAUCAAGCUUCCAAUCCUUCUUGAUGUUGGCCUCUUCCAACGGAAUUGGGAGAUGAGAGUCUUCUUUCUAUCUCUUUUUUUCUUUUUUUUGUAUCUCUGCUUUAAAAUUCAUGCCAUCCUUUUUGGGCCAUUUGAGCUGACUAUUGCUUCUAGGCAAGUCAAAUGGAUCUGGCCCAAUUCUAUAUUAGGUCCUUUAAGACUAGGGUAUUACAAUCUAUAGCUGCUCUAUUGUUGGCUAUAGUGGUGGC
rnacentral:lncRNA from 1 species